GCGGGCGUGAUGUAGCGGCAGCGUGCGACCUUCCCAAGGUUGAUGUGCGGGUUCGACUCCCGCCGCCCGCUCCA
rnacentral:tRNA from 1 species